rnacentral:rRNA from 1 species
CGCCAGACUCCUACGGGAGGCAGCAGUGGGGAAUAUUGCACAAUGGGGGAAACCCUGAUGCAGCGACGCCGCGUGAGCGAUGAAGUAUUUCGGUAUGUAAAGCUCUAUCAGCAGGGAAGAAAAUGACGGUACCUGACUAAGAAGCCCCGGCUAACUACGUGCCAGCAGCCGCGGUAAUACGUAGGGGGCAAGCGUUAUCCGGAUUUACUGAGUGUAAAGGGGGCGCAGACGGCGAUGCAAGCCAGGAGUGAAAGCCCGGGGCCCAACCCCGGGACUGCUCUUGGAACUGCGUGGCUGGAGUGCAGGAGGGGCAGGCGGAAUUCCUGGUGUAGCGGUGAAAUGCGUAGAUAUCAGGAGGAACACCGGUGGCGAAGGCGGCCUGCUGGACUGCAACUGACGUUGAGGCCCGAAAGCGUGGGGAGCAAACAGGAUUAGAUACCCUUGUAA